rnacentral:rRNA from 1 species
GACGAACGCUGGCGGCGUGCUUAACACAUGCAAGUCGAACGGAAAGGCCCUGCUUGUGUGGGGUGCUCGAGUGGCGAACGGGUGAGUAACACGUGAGUAACCUGCCCUUGACUUUGGGAUAACGUCAGGAAACUGGGGCUAAUACCGGAUAGGAGCUCCUGCUGCAUGGUGGGGGUUGGAAAGGUUCGGCGGUUGGGGAUGGACUCGCGGCUUAUCAGCUUGUUGGUGGGGUAGUGGCUUACCAAGGCUUUGACGGGUAGCCGGCCUGAGAGGGUGACCGGCCACAUUGGGACUGAGAUACGGCCCAGCCUCCUACGGGAGGAAGCAGUGGGGAAUAUUGAACAAUGGGCGGAAGCCUGAUGCAGAAACGCCGCGUGCGGGAUGACGGCCUUCGGGUUGUAAACCGCUUUCGCCUGUGACGAAGCGUGAGUGACGGUAAUGGGUAAAGAAGCACCGGCUAACUACGUG